rnacentral:rRNA from 1 species
AUUAACGCGAAGAACCUUACCUGGGCUUGAACUGCAGUGGACCGGUGCAGAGAUGUGCCUUUUCGCAAGAACUGCUGCAGAGGUGCUGCAUGGCUGUCGUCAGCUCGUGUCGUGAGAUGUUGGUUAAGUCCCGCAACGAGCGCAACCCUUACCCGUAGUUGCCAGCGCGUCAAGGCGGGAACUCUACGGGGACUGCCCGGGUUAACCGGGAGGAAGGUGGGGAUGAUGUCAAGUCCUCAUGGCCCUUAUGUCCAGGGCUACACACGUGCUACAAUGGGCGAUACAAACCGUUGCAAAGUCGCGAGAUGGAGCUAAUCGGAGAAAGUCGUCCUCAGUUCGGAUUGCAGUCUGCAACUCGACUGCAUGAAGGUGGAAUCGCUGGUAAUCGUGUAUCAGAAUGAUACGGUGAAUACGUUCCCGGGUCUUGUACACACCGAAU